rnacentral:rRNA from 1 species
GACGAACGCUGGCGGCGUGCCUAACACAUGCAAGUCGUACGGAGUUCACUUGGAAGCUUGCUUCCGAGUGAACUUAGUGGCGGACGGGUGAGUAACGCGUGAGCAACCUGCCUCACAGAGGGGGAUAACACACGGAAACGUGUGCUAAUACCGCAUAAUCCGAUGAAGCGGCAUCGCUUUAUCGGCAAAGGAGCAAUCCGCUGUGAGAUGGGCUCGCGUCCGAUUAGAUAGUUGGUGAGGUAACGGCUCACCAAGUCUACGAUCGGUAGCCGGACUGAGAGGUUGGACGGCCACAUUGGGACUGAGACACGGCCCAAACUCCUACGGGAGGCAGCAGUGAGGGAUAUUGCACAAUGGGCGAAAGCCUGAUGCAGCGACGCCGCGUGAGGGAUGACGGUCUUCGGAUUGUAAACCUCUGUUCCUUGGUGUAAGAAGAAAGUGACGGUAGCCAAGGAGGAAGCCACGGCUAACUACGUCGCCAGCAGACC